CACGUAGUUAGCCGACACUUAUUCUGUGGGUACCGUCCUUCCUCUUCCCCACUAAAAGGAUUUUACAACCCAAGGCCGUCUUCAUCCACGCGGCGUCGCUGCAUCAGACUUGCGUCCAUUGUGCAAUAUUCCC
rnacentral:rRNA from 1 species